rnacentral:lncRNA from 1 species
UCAAGUUGAACCUACACCACAAUCGAAAUUUGAAAUCAAUUUAAUGGUCCUGAAUUAUUGCAAGUACUUUUUAUUGUUAGCUUGCCUUGUUUUGAAGAACAUAAAUUUUAUUAUUAUUAUUAUUAUUAUUAUUAUUAUUAUUAUUAUGCUUUGAAUGACAAUAGAUUUUUUCUCAUCUAAGAAAUGCUAUAAAAUUGAUAUUACAACACUCAAUGGGCAGCCAUAAAGUAUACUCAAAAGAACAAGUGCAGUUACUUUCAGGCCCUACAAGUGCUGGAUCAAUUGUCCACACUUUUUAUACGCUCUAAUUGCCACAUAGUAGACUUCGCGUGUGUGGCGCAGUGGUAAAGCUCCUGUUUUGCGCGCAUGAAGUCCCCGGUUCGAUUCCUGGCAGCUCCUACUCGUUUUAACUGUUCCCUUUCAAUUCCCGGAUUCUCCAAUGCGUUUUAACUGUUCCCUUUCAAUUCCCAGAAUCUCCAACACGUUUUAACUGUUCCCUUUCAGAAUCUGUUCACUUUUUAACUGUUCCCAUUCUGUAAAUAUUCGCACAAGGUGUGUCCGUCUUUAACUUCUUGUUAUGAGCUGAUAUUUGCAUAGCUACAUAGUAGAUAAAUUUCCUCAUCUGUCACAUGACAACAAUGUUCAUCUACAAUAUUAGGACAUAUCGGUAGAGACCAGCAUAAGUCUGGUGAAGAACGUGGUCUCGCCUCAAGGGAUAUGCUUUCUUAUAAAAAAGAAUCUAAGCUCUGCUUUCCUGCUGGUGGCCGUUUCUCCGGAUCAUGUUAUUUUCUUGUUUUAAACAAGUUCAUUUAUUGCAAGAAUCUGAAAAUAGUAAUUAGGCCUUCAUUAAGAACUAAUGGAUUUUAAAUAUUAAUGUGAAACAUUAAGACUUUGCAUGAAAAUUCAAUGUGUUCUGAGUCAUAUUGUAGCAGCUUGCUUCUAGACUUGUCAACACUUGCUUGUUAGAUAGGGAACCAUGCUCCAGAC